rnacentral:lncRNA from 1 species
UUCUCACGCGGGGCGUGGCUGUGACGUAUCGGUCCCCUGGGGCGCCGCGCUGUGGGGGUCGUCGUGACGUCCAGUCCCACACAGGGAUGCAAGCUGAAGGAGAACUCAUCGAUGCCGGACUGUGGCGGGAGCCGGUGGACGGCGCAGGGGGGUUAUUGCAUCUCCCCUCCAUAGCAUCGAAAUGGAGUGAAAUACAGGCAUUUCAAGCGAGACCAGAUGAUGUUCUUAUUUCCACUAACCAUAAAGCAGUUCAGCUACAUGUAGAACUGCAAUACAUCUAAAACGCAAAACUGGACACCAACCUUCAUGUAAGUUUUCCUAGACUUAUGCUGAAAAACAUAAAAACCUUGAUU